rnacentral:misc_RNA from 1 species
GUUGCCCAACACCGCCGGCGACGACCUCCAAACAACCUUUUGGGGUCUCGCUCGGCAUGUCUCGCUUAUUUCGCUUUGGAAUUUCACGUUGACGCCGCAGUCAGCGGUAGCAGAGGCAUCGGCAGCGGCGGCAGCAGCGACACGGACCGAAAAUAAAAGCGUUAACCGCUCUCCUCCAGUGCAGCAGCAGCAGCGGACCCAGCCAGUAGCCAGCAGCUAAUCACCACAUCCCAGAUUCAGUUUCCAGUUCGAACUACACUCGAAUCUCAAAAAUGACCACCUACUUCAACUACCCCAGCAAGGAGCUGCAGGAUGAGCUGCGCGACAUCGCCCAGCGAAUCGUUGCCCCCGGCAAGGGAAUCCUCGCCGCCGAUGAGUCCGGCCCAACCAUGGGCAAGCGUCUGCAGGACAUCGGCGUGGAGAACACCGAGGACAACCGCCGUGCCUACCGUCAGCUGUUGUUCAGCACUGACCCCAAGCUGGCCGAGAACAUCUCUGGAGUGAUCCUGUUCCACGAGACCCUCUACCAGAAGGCCGACGAUGGCACCCCCUUCGCCGAGAUCCUGAAGAAGAAGGGCAUCAUUCUGGGCAUCAAGGUCGACAAGGGUGUGGUCCCACUGUUCGGCUCCGAGGACGAGGUCACCACCCAGGGUCUGGAUGACCUGGCUGCCCGUUGCGCCCAGUACAAGAAGGACGGUUGCGACUUCGCCAAGUGGCGUUGCGUCCUGAAGAUCGGCAAGAACACCCCAUCCUACCAGUCGAUCCUGGAGAACGCCAAUGUCCUGGCCCGCUACGCCUCCAUCUGCCAGUCGCAGCGCAUCGUCCCAAUUGUGGAGCCCGAGGUUCUGCCCGAUGGCGAUCACGAUCUGGACCGCGCCCAGAAGGUCACCGAGACCGUCCUGGCCGCCGUCUACAAGGCCCUGAGCGACCACCACGUCUACCUGGAGGGUACUCUGCUGAAGCCCAACAUGGUCACCGCCGGUCAGUCGGCCAAGAAGAACACCCCCGAGGAGAUCGCCCUGGCCACCGUGCAGGCUCUGCGCCGCACCGUUCCCGCCGCCGUUACUGGCGUGACCUUCCUGUCUGGAGGUCAGUCCGAGGAGGAGGCCACCGUCAACCUGAGUGCCAUCAACAACGUUCCCUUGAUCCGCCCAUGGGCCCUCACCUUCUCGUACGGUCGUGCCCUGCAGGCCUCCGUCCUGCGUGCCUGGGCUGGCAAGAAGGAGAACAUCGCCGCCGGCCAGAACGAGCUGCUCAAGCGCGCCAAGGCUAACGGAGAGGCAGCUUGUGGUAACUAUGAAGCUGGAUCGGUUGAGGGGUUCGCUGGAAAAGAUACUUUGCAUGUGGAUAAUCACAAGUACUGAUCAAAGGAUUGAAGAAUUGCUGCCUUAAGAUGGCGAUGAACAAGCUUUUAUGGGGCCAAUUCCCAGGCCUGCCAGGGUAUUUACGUGCCCGGCUCAAUUCCGUCGUUUGCCGGCAAUGCCAACCUCUUUGUCGCCCAGCACAAAUACUAAGUCCUAAAUGCCACGCACUAAUCCCGAGUCACAAUCGAGCGAAGCUAUAUCCCAAGCCGAAUCCAGAUAAUCCGCAAGAGUUACUGAUCGAGGCCCAGCUGGAGAGAGACGGGCGGCAUUUAUAUUCCUCCACCAAUGGAACUGCAAAUAUAUUCCUUUUAUACAUUUUUACAUUUUACCGCAUAAACUGACUAGACCUUAA